AAAAGUUGACGAUGGAAAAAGAACACGAAAAUUUCAUUCAAGAACAAAUGCACUGGAAGUAGUGCGUGGUAUUGAUCUAUCUGGUAAAACGUAUGCAAUUACUGGAACAACAUCUGGAGUCGGAACUGAGACAGCUAGAGCCUUUAUCCUGAAAGGCGCCCAUAUUGUUAUGAUUAACAGAAACUAUGCAGCAUCUGAAACAUUGAAACAAUCACUUUUAUGUGAAACCCCAGAUGCCCGAAUUGAUAUUGUUCAGUGUGAUUUGAGUUCACUUGCAUCGGUUAAAAAAACGGCGGAAGAAUAUUUGACGAAGAAAUGGCCUCUCCAUGGACUAAUUUUGAACGCCGGCGUUCUUGGACGAAAAGAAAAAACGACUGCUGAUAGAUUUGAAGCUCAUUUUGGAAUAAAUCAUCUUGCUCAUUUUUUGCUGAUAAAGGAGCUUCUUCCAGUUCUUCGAUCGUCAGCUCCAUCAAGAAUUGUCAUCCUUUCUUCGACGCUUAGCAAGUUCACUUCGAUCAAUCCUGAUUCCAAAAUUGAGGAGAAGCUUGGCACUCUUUGCCCAAAAAACGCAACUGAGUGGUAUUACCGAUUGUAUGCAAAAUCAAAAAUGUGCAACAUGCUAAUUGCGUUUAAAUUGCAUCGAGAUGAAUUUGAAAACGGAAUAAGUGUAUAUUCGGUUCAUCCGGGAUCCGCAGUUCGCACGAAUCUUCAUAGAGAUGUUCCGUUUUGGAGUAUUUUUAAUUUUUUGUCAAUUCCUUUUACAAAGAAUGCGAGCCAGGGAGCAGCAACAAGUCUUUAUUGUGCAGUACAUCCAGAAGUUCAAGAACUGUCUGGAAGGUAUUGGGAAUCUUGUUGGGAUGAUGAGCUGAACUUGGACGAGAAAGUGGCAAGAGAUGAAGAAUUACAAGAAGCGUUGUGGGAAUAUUCUGAAGAACUUGUUGGAAAAUGUUUGAAUUCGUGUUAA
rnacentral:misc_RNA from 1 species